GACGAACGCUGGCGGCGUGCUUAACACAUGCAAGUCGAACGGAAAGGCCCUGCUUUUGUGGGGUGCUCGAGUGGCGAACGGGUGAGUAACACGUGAGUAACCUGCCCUUGACUUUGGGAUAACUUCAGGAAACUGGGGCUAAUACCGGAUAGGAGCUCCUGCUGCAUGGUGGGGGUUGGAAAGUUUCGGCGGUUGGGGAUGGACUCGCGGCUUAUCAGCUUGUUGGUGGGGUAGUGGCUUACCAAGGCUUUGACGGGUAGCCGGCCUGAGAGGGUGACCGGCCACAUUGGGACUGAGAUACGGCCCAGACGCCUACGGGAGGCAACAGUGGGGAAUAUUGCACAAUGGGCGGAAGCCUGAUGCAGCAACGCCGCGUGCGGGAUGACGGCCUUCGGGUUGUAAACCGCUUUCGCCUGUGACGAAGCGUGAGUGACGGUAAUGGGUAAAGAAGCACCGGCUAACUACGU
rnacentral:rRNA from 1 species